rnacentral:rRNA from 1 species
CCCUUAGAUGUUCUGGGCCGCACACGCGCUACACUGAUGCAUUCAACGAGUCUAAAACCUGCUCUGAUAGGGGUGGGUAAUCUUUUGAAUGUGCAUCGUGAUUGGGAUAGAUGAUUGCAAUUUUUCAUCUUCAACGAGGAAUGCCUAGUAAACGCAAGUCAUCAGCUUGCAUUGAUUACGUCCCUGCCCUUUGUACACACCGCCCGUCGCUCCUACCGAUUGAAUGAUCCGAUGAAUAUCAUGGAUUGAGGAUUAUAGCAGGUUCGCCUGUCUUGAUCUUCGAGAAGUGAAGUAAAUCUUAUCAUUUAGAGGAAGGAGAAGUCGUAACA